UACGUAGGUGGCAAGCGUUGUCCGGAAUUAUUGGGCGUAAAGCGCGCGCAGGCGGUCCUUUAAGUCUGAUGUGAAAUCUUGUGGCUUAACCACAAGCUGCAUUGGAAACUGGGGGACUUGAGUGCAGAAGAGGAAAGUGGAAUUCCAAGUGUAGCGGUGAAAUGCGUAGAGAUUUGGAGGAACACCAGUGGCGAAGGCGACUUUCUGGUCUGUAACUGACGCUGAGGCGCGAAAGCGUGGGGAGCAAACA
rnacentral:rRNA from 1 species